AGGGUUUGAUCCUGGCUCAGGACAAACGCUGGCGGCAUGCCUAACACAUGCAAGUCGAACGGACGGAGGCAAGGAAUUCUUCGGAAGGAAUUGCCCGAGUUAGUGGCGGAUGGGUGAGUAACGCGUGGGGAACCUACCUUUUAGAGGGGGAUAAUCAUUGGAAACGAUGACUAAUACCGCGUAAUAUACAAAGACCGCAUGGUUUUUGUAAGAAAGGCGGCCUUAGAGCUGUCGCUAAAAGAUGGACCCGCGUCUGAUUAGCUAGUUGGUAAGGUAACGGCUUACCAAGGCAACGAUCAGUAGCCGGCCUGAGAGGGUGAACGGCCACAUUGGGACUGAGACACGGCCCAA
rnacentral:rRNA from 1 species